GUCCAGGGUAGCCUAGUGGACAUGGCGUCUGCCCCGGUAAGCGGAACAUUGUGGGUUCGAUUCCAUCCCCGGACA